AUCUUUUUUAAUCAUAAUUUUCUUCGUUCAUUCCUGCCGACAGUUGGGGCAGAGACUGUCAUAUGCUCUGGGUAACACUCACAGCCAGACGCGGCCUAACAGUAAAACAUUUAGAAAUGUGACAAAAGGUCUUCUGUUUGUCCAUUUAUUCCUACAUAGAGUUUUAAUCCCGUUUACAUGAAAAGCUGUACUUUUUGUGUCCCUGACUAUUCCAAAUUUCUUUUUGCAGCAAACUGACAAACCGAAUAAGCCCAGGACACUGGAAAAUACUUGAAAAACAUGGAUGUUCCUUGACAGAUUGGUUCUGUGGACUGUGGUGUGUUCAUGUUGAUUGUUGUCACGUCACGGAUCGGGGAAGCAGGAGCAGGAAGACGGAGAAUCGGGAAACAAAGGAUUUAUUGGGGAAACCAGCUAGGAACACGGAACAAUAGAAGUAGCGACUUAAAUGACAUGAUUGGGGAAACAUAUUUUGAAGCGGAGUUAAAUACAUAGGACUAAUGAAAACAACUGGAAACAGCGAAUGACAUCGGGGUUCCACACGAGGUUAACGAGGGGGCGUGGCACACGGGAGGAGCGGACAAGCGGCGCAUGACAAUUGUAAGACAGACCACCUUGAAUUGUUGGACUUGUAAUACAGAGAAUGUAUUGAAGUAUUCCCCCCUCCCCUCCCUUUUAUCAGUAUGCACUCUGCAUGGCCUUGGUGUGUCUUGAGUAUUACAAAAUGCACCAUGAACUGUCUAUAUUAUAUUUUUAUUUUAAGUCAUAAUAUGUGAAUUUGAUCUGUUGUUUUUCAGUGAGUUGCAGGGAUUUGACAAAAACAUCCUUUUAGAAAUGCGUGAGGAAGGUCAAGACUCUGGUCUCCAGCUCACCGCUCUCUCUUACAUUUCCAUGGCCAUUUUGUCCGAUAGUAUUAUUGGAUUUUUCUAUGCUAUAUA